GCGCAGUAGAGAGGUGUCCGUAUUAGAGAGGUGUCCGUAUUAGAGAGGUGUUCGUAUUAGAGAGGUGUGCGUAUUAGAGAGGUGUGCGUAUUAGAGAGGUGUCCGUAUUAGAGAGGUGUGUGUAUUAGAGAGGUGUGCGUAUUAGAGAGGUGUGCGUAUUAGAUAGGUGUGCGUAUUAGAGAGGUGUCCGUAUUAGAGAGGUGUGUGUAUUAGAGAGGUGUGUGUAUUAGAGAGGUGUGCGUAUUAGAGAGGUGUGCGUAUUAGAGAGGGGUGCGUAUUAGAGAGGUGUGCGUAUUAGAGAGGUGUGCGUAUUAGGGAGGUGUGCUUAUUAGAGAGUUGUGUGUAUUAGAGAGGUAUGCGUAUUAGAGAGGUGUCCGUGUUAGAGAAGUGUGCGUGUUAGACAGGUGUCUCUAUUACAACGGUAUCCAUAUUAAAGACGUUUUUAUAUUAGAGAAGGGACCGUAUAUGAC